rnacentral:rRNA from 1 species
GAUGAACGCUGGCGGCGUGCCUAAUACAUGCAAGUCGAGCGAACGGACGAGAAGCUUGCUUCUCUGAUGUUAGCGGCGGACGGGUGAGUAACACGUGGAUAACCUACCUAUAAGACUGGGAUAACUUCGGGAAACCGUAGCUAAUACCGGAUAAUAUUUUGAACCGCAUGGUUCAAAAGUGAAAGACGGUCUUGCUGUCACGUAUAGAUGGAUCCGCGCUGCAUUAGCUAGUUGGUAAGGUAACGGCUUACCAAGGCAACGAUGCGUAGCCGACCUGAGAGGGUGAUCGGCCACACUGGAACUGGGACGCGGUCCAGACUCCUACGGGAGGCAGCAGUAGGCAAUCUUCCGCAAUGGGCGAAAGCCUGACGGAGCAACGCCGCGUGAGUGAUGAAGGUCUUCGGAUCGUAAAACUCUGUUAUUAGGGAAGAACAUAUGUGUAAGUAACUGUGCACAUCUUGACGGUACCUAAUCAGAAAGCCACGGCUAACUACGUG